rnacentral:rRNA from 1 species
GACCCUGCUCAGGACGAACGCUGGCGGCGUGCUUAACACAUGCAAGUCGAACGAUGAAGCCUUCGGGUGGAUUAGUGGCGAACGGGUGAGUAACACGUGGGAAAUCUGCCCUGCACUCUGGGACAAGCCUUGGAAACGAGGUCUAAUACCGGAUAUUACCUGUCCUCGCAUGGGGAUGGGUGGAAAGCUCCGGCGGUGCAGGAUGAUCCCGCGGCCUAUCAGCUUGUUGGUGGGGUAAUGGCCUACCAAGGCGACGACGGGUAGCCGGCCUGAGAGGGCGACCGGCCACACUGGGACUGAGACACGGCCCAGACUCCUACGGGAGGCAGCAGUGGGGAAUAUUGCACAAUGGGCGAAAGCCUGAUGCAGCGACGCCGCGUGAGGGAUGACGGCCUUCGGGUUGUAAACCUCUUUCAGCAGGGAAGAAGCGCAAGUGACGGUACCUGCAGAAGAAGCACCGGCUAACUACGUGCCAGCAGCCGCGGUAAUACGUAGGGUGCGAGCGUUGUCCGGAAUUAUUGGGCGUAAAGAGCUCGUAGGCGGCCUGUCGCGUCGGAUGUGAAAGCCCGGGGCUUAACCCCGGGUCUGCAUUCGAUACGGGCAGGCUAGAGUGUGGUAGGGGAGAUCGGAAUUCCUGGUGUAGCGGUGAAAUGCGCAGAUAUCAGGAGGAACACCGGUGGCGAAGGCGGAUCUCUGGGCCAUUACUGACGCUGAGGAGCGAAAGCGUGGGGAGCGAACAGGAUUAGAUACCCUGGUAGUCCACGCCGUAAACGUUGGGAACUAGGUGUUGGCGACAUUCCACGUCGUCGGUGCCGCAGCUAACGCAUUAAGUCCCCGCC